AUGAGCCUCUUCAGCCUUUUGACCUUCAUCUUUCCCCAUUUUUUCUUCCAAAGGGCAGGUGAAGCCCAUAUGUAUAGUAGCCAUCUUGUAACCAUGGCUGCAAACAACAAGGACGAGAGGCUAGGAGAAGCCUGGACCUUGAGGAAAUUCUUGAGGACUGCACCAGCCCAUGUUUGGGUUGUUGUUCCACUUCAAUCCUGUGAUAUGUCUGUUGAAGUCCAUGGAUCUGUUUGCAUCAUGAUCACCCCAUCUUCAUUGCCAUAAAUUACAGGUAUCCUAUCUAUUCCUUAAUCUUUUUUCACAUUUUUAAUUACUUAAAGGUUGGCAGCUUCGACUUCCACUUCACGUAUCUUCCAAAAUUCUGGAUGUAACGUUCUAACUCUAAAUAUAUCAAUUCCUGGGAAUCCCUGGGUGGCUCAGUGGUUUAGCGCCACCUUUGGCCCAGGACAUGAUCCUGGAGUCUUGGGAUGGAGUCCCACAUGGGGUUCCCUGCAUGGAGCCUGCUUCUCCCUCUGCCUGUGUCUCUGCCUCUCUCAGUGUCUCUCGUGAAUAAAUAAAUAAAAUAUUUAAAAUAAAUAAAUAUA
rnacentral:lncRNA from 12 species